UACGUAGGGUGCAAGCGUUGCCCGGAUUUAUUGGGCGUAAAGGGCGCGUAGGCGGCCCCGGCGCGUCCGCGGUGAAAGCUCCCGGCUCAACUGGGAGAGGUCCGCGGAAACGGUCGGGCUGGAGCAAGGUAGGGGGUCGUGGAAUUCCCGGUGUAGUGGGUGGAAUGCGUAGAGAUCGGGGAGGAACACCAAUGGCGAAGGCAGCUCUCUGGUACGUGACUGACGCUGAGACGCGAAAGCGUGGGGAGCGAACGAGG
rnacentral:rRNA from 1 species